CUCGUUAGCAGUCAGUGUGGAGAUUAGCUGUUUCUGUUUAGCAGUUUCUGCUGUUUUUAUUUGUAUAUACAAUGUGUCAAAUUAUUGUUCCUCAUGGAGGAAAGAGAAAAAAUACUUUUAACCUCACUAACUGGAUAAUACUGCUCGGGACAGUGCAUCGUUCAGCCCAUUCAAGUGGAUCUCCAGUCCGAGACGAUGCUCCACCACGAGAAGCACUGGUAAGACGAUACUCGUGCUCUGAAUAUCACCUCUAUCCUUCCUCACUAAACUCCUCUAAAAACACAGAGUCUAAACAUGUGCUCUCAACAUGCUUACUCAGAUUAUGAUAGACCAUCUUGUGCGCUUACACACUGUUGUUUACACCUGGUCACUUCUUCAUGUUUUAAACACAUGCAUUUUUUACACUUUUUGACCCAAUGUGUCUCCAGUUAGUCAGCCCGAAAUCUGAUUUCUGUGCAGGAU
rnacentral:lncRNA from 1 species